UACGUAGGGUGCGAGCGUUGUCCGGAAUUAUUGGGCGUAAAGAGCUCGUAGGCGGUGUGUCGCGUCGGUCGUGAAAACUUGGGGCUUAACCCUGAGCUUGCGGUCGAUACGGGCAUCACUGGAGUUCGGCAGGGGAGACUGGAAUUCCUGGUGUAGCGGUGAAAUGCGCAGAUAUCAGGAGGAACACCGGUGGCGAAGGCGGGUCUCUGGGCCGAAUACUGACGCUGAGGAGCGAAAGCGUGGGGAGCGAACAGG
rnacentral:rRNA from 1 species